rnacentral:rRNA from 1 species
GACACCCCUGAACGCUGUCUGAAGAUUGCAGUCUGAGCGAUUAUUAAAUUAUUUAAAACUUUCAACAACGGAUCUCUUGGUUCCGGCAUCGAUGAAGAACGCAGCGAAAUGCGAUACGUAAUGUGAAUUGCAGAAUUCAGUGAAUCAUCGAGUCUUUGAACGCACAUUGCGCCCCCUGGUAUUCCGGGGGGCAUGCCUGUCCGAGCGUCAUUUCUGCCCUCAAGCCCGGCUUGUGUGUUGGGCCGCGUCCCCCCGGGGACGGGCCCGAAAGGCAGCGGCGGCACCGCGUCCGGUCCUCGAGCGUAUGGGGCUUUGUCACCCGCUCUUGCAGGCCCGGCCGGCGCCAGCCGACCCCAACCAUUCUUUCUCAGGUUGACCUCGGAUCAGGUAGGGAUACCCGCUGAACUUAAGCAUAUCAAUAAGCGGAGGAAAAGAAACCAACAGGGAUUGCCCCAGUAACGGCGAGUGAAGCGGCAAGAGCUCAAAUUUGAAAGCUGGCCCCCUCGGGGUCCGCAUUGUAAUUUGCAGAGGAUGCUUCGGAGGCAGCCCCCGUCUAAGUACCCUGGAACGGGUCGUCAUAGAGGGUGAGAAUCCCGUACGGGACGGGGUGUCUGCCACCGUGUGAAGCUCCUUCGACGAGUCGAGUUGUUUGGGAAUGCAGCUCUAAAUGGGUGGUAAAUUUCAUCUAAAGCUAAAUAUUGGCCGGAGACCGAUAGCGCACAAGUAGAGUGAUCGAAAGAUGAAAGCACUUUGAAAAG